rnacentral:rRNA from 1 species
UGCAAACUGCGAAUACCGGAGAAUGUUAUCACGGGAGACACACGGCGGGUGCUAACGUCCGUCGUGAAGAGGGAAACAACCCAGACCGCCAGCUAAGGUCCCAAAGUCAUGGUUAAGUGGGAAACGAUGUGGGAAGGCCCAGACAGCCAGGAUGUUGGCUUAGAAGCAGCCAUCAUUUAAAGAAAGCGUAAUAGCUCACUGGUCGAGUCGGCCUGCGCGGAAGAUGUAACGGGGCUAAACCAUGCACCGAAGCUGCGGCAGCGACGCUUAUGCGUUGUUGGGUAGGGGAGCGUUCUGUAAGCCUGUGAAGGUGUGCUGUGAGGUAUGCUGGAGGUAUCAGAAGUGCGAAUGCUGACAUAAGUAACGAUAAAGCGGGUGAAAAGCCCGCUCGCCGGAAGACCAAGGGUUCCUGUCCAACGUUAAUCGGGGCAGGGUGAGUCGACCCCUAAGGCGAGGCCGAAAGGCGUAGUCGAUGGGAAACAGGUUAAUAUUCCUGUACUUGGUGUUACUGCGAAG